rnacentral:rRNA from 1 species
CCUACGGGAGGCUGCAGUGGGGAAUAUUGGACAAUGGGCGAAAGCCUGAUCCAGCCAUGCCGCGUGUGUGAAGAAGGCCUUCGGGUUGUAAAGCACUUUCAGUGGGGAAGAAAGCCUUGGGGCUAAUACCCUCGAGGAAGGACAUCACCCACAGAAGAAGCACCGGCUAACUCCGUGCCAGCAGCCGCGGUAAUACGGAGGGUGCGAGCGUUAAUCGGAAUUACUGGGCGUAAAGCGCGCGUAGGCGGUCUGAUAAGCCGGUUGUGAAAGCCCCGGGCUCAACCUGGGAACGGCAUCCGGAACUGUCAGGCUAGAGCGCAGGAGAGGAAGGUAGAAUUCCCGGUGUAGCGGUGAAAUGCGUAGAGAUCGGGAGGAAUACCAGUGGCGAAGGCGGCCUUCUGGACUGACACUGACGCUGAGGUGCGAAAGCGUGGGUAGCAAACAGGAUUAGAUACCCCGGUAGUC